rnacentral:rRNA from 1 species
AUGGGCCGCUUGAAUCAUAGGUGUUUCUCAGUGCCUAGACUGGAUAGGUCUUCUUCUAGUGCCUCCAUAGGAAAGAAUGGAUCAACUCAGUCAACUGCACAGGCUAAAAAAGCUAGAACACCAAGAACUAGGACUUCAGCCGGUCUCAGACUAGAGGAAAUUGACCGACCGCUUAUAGUUCCCAAAGGCGUGUUAUGGGAAAGGCACCCAUACACCGCUCGUGAUCCAUCAACGGUGCAAGGUGCCUUAGUGCGGCAGAUGUAUCCACCGCCAAUUGGUCCAAAAAAUGACCAGAAACCAGUAUUGUGUUGGGAGGACUACAAGUGGUCCCCUGGCCCAGAAGUAAGACCAGCAGCUUCCAAAAUUGUGGAAGAAUUUUGGUGGCGUUUCAAGUGUGACCCAUUGGAGCAAGAGAAGGCAGAUGGUGUUUUGGAGGAGAACUUUACUAGGAAAGUGAAGCAGAUGCUACAUGAGGAAAAGGCGGCAGCCAUCAAAAGAUUAAUGAAGAAGGGACAAUUGCCUACACAACUAACAGAAGUGAAUGAGAAUGGUAACCGUUGGCCAACUAAGGAAGCUUUAAUUUCUGCAAAGAAAGUUGACUUUGGUACCGAUGUUGGUUGGCGUCUACUAUGUGAGCAUUGGAGUGGUGCUGAAUUUAGAGGGCUAUCCUUAAGAAACAAGAGGAACAUACUUGCUAAUGGGGAUACAGUCUUCCAUUGCAGCGGUGCGAGAAAUGCUGUCGCCACACGUCAAUUCCUGACACUCAAAACAGGGAAAGACCCUGGAAUUUCCGGUGCUUGGCUUCACACGCACAAUUUGCAUCGAGGGACCGACAAAGAGAAGAUUUGCAGUCAAAGAACUGCCGAUCGUUGGGAGGAUUUUGAUAAGGCAAUGAAAAAUGCUCAUGGAGAAAAUUGGGAAGAGGAGCACCCAGAUUUAGAUGGACAAAUCGUCUAUGAAGCAGCAGGUAGAAUGCCACAUGGCAGGCUGGGAAUUGCUAAUGAGUUAUUUAGCAAAGCAGAGAAGGCGAAGUUUAAGUCUAAAAGGGUGAUGGCCUCACAACCGGUGCGGUCUGCUAGGGAGGACCGUCUAGAAAGAGAGAACAAACAUUUGAAGCAGGAGAACAAGCGUCUUCGAGGCAUUGAGCUUGUUGUGCAGUCAUUGGCUGAGAAAGGGGGAGUGGACUUUGAUGGCAUAAUGCAAUCAGCUACGGCUGACUUGUCUACAUCAGAUUCGGAAGGCAGAAUUCGUAGGGGACGAGGUGAUGUGCAUCAAAGCGAACCUGAAAAGGGAAUGGGAAGCAGGACUGGAGGCAGUGCCAGUCAUGGAGAUGAUGAUGAGGAUGACUACUAUGGUAGCGAGGGAGAUGAUGACUAUGGCAAGGAUGGUCUAUAUGGUGAUGAGCCAUACUAUGGUGGUGAGGGAUAUAAUGACUAUGAAGAUGAGGAAUAUAAUGAGUAUGGCAAUGAUAAUGAUGAUUGGCCAUAA